UUUGCUGACGAGUGGCGCACGGGUGCGUAACGCGUAUACAAUCUGCCUUUAAGCGGGGAAUAGCCCAUGGAAACGUGGAUUAAUACCCCAUAGUAUAUAGACAUCACCUGAUGAUUAUAUUAAACAUUUAUGGCUUAAAGAUGAGUAUGCGUCCUAUUAGUUAGUUGGUAAGGUAACGGCUUACCAAGACCGCGAUAGGUAGGGGUCCUGAGAGGGAGAUCCCCCACACUGGUACUGAGACACGGACCAGACUCCUACGGGAGGCAGCAGUGAGGAAUAUUGGACAAUGGAGGCAACUCUGAUCCAGCCAUGCCGCGUGCAGGAAGACGGCCCUAUGGGUUGUAAACUGCUUUUAUACGGGAAGAACCACUCCGACGUGUCGGAACUUGACGGUACCGUAUGAAUAAGGACCGGCUAACUCCGUGCCAGCAGCCGCGGUAAUACGGAGGGUCCAAGCGUUAUCCGGAAUCAUUGGGUUUAAAGGGUCCGUAGGCGGAAUAAUAAGUCAGUGGUGAAAGUCUGCAGCUCAACUGUAGAAUUGCCAUUGAUACUGUUAUUCUUGAAUUAUUAUGAAGUGGUUGGAAUGAGUAGUGGUAGCGGUGAAAUGCAUAGAUAUUACUCAGAACACCUAUUGCGAAGGCAGAUCACUAAUAAUAUAUUGACGCUGAGGGACGAAAGCGUAGGUAGCGAACAGGAUUAGAUACCCUGGUAGUCUACGCCGUAAACGAUGGUUACUAGCUGUCCGGCCU
rnacentral:rRNA from 1 species